GACGAACGCUGCCGGCGUGCUUAACACAUGCAAGUCGAACGAAGUGGCGAACGGGUGAGUAAUACGUGAGUAACCUGCCCUCCUUUUUGGGAUACGCCUUGGAAACGGGGUCUCAUACCGGAUAAAGGGGGAUGGGCUCGCGGCCUCUCAGUUUUUUGGUGGGGUGAUGGCCUACCAAGGCGGUGACGGGUAGCCGGCCUGGGAGGGUGACGGGCCAGAUGGGGAGUGAGAUAUGGAGCAGAGUCAGAGGGGAGGGAGAAGUGGGGGAUAUUGAAGAGGGGGCGAGAGGAUGGUGAAGCGACGCCGCGUGGGGGAUGAAGGCUUUCGGGUUGUAAACCUGUUUCGCGAUAGAACGGGUGGGUGGAGAAGAAGGGCCGGCUAAGUACGUGCCAGCCGCCGCGGUAAUUC
rnacentral:rRNA from 1 species